ensembl:processed_transcript si:dkeyp-1h4.9 si:dkeyp-1h4.9
AAACAAACAGACAGAAAAGCUGUUUCAUUUAUCAGGAAACCAUAACAAACACUUCCUGGAUAGGGAUGGGCACUUACUGAGAUAGAGAAACUUCUGGAAAUGAGGGCAAGGCUGUUUGCAGGUCAGCUGGUGGUGGUGUGCUGCGUACAAGUAUAAAUAAUAGAGGGAAACAUCGAUAGGUCCUUUUCGUGACUGAAGCCUUCUGCUGCAAGAUCAACAAGGUCUGUGGUGGUUCUUCUACGGGAGACACCUUUAAACCUUGAAUGAUCAUCAUCAUGAAGGACGUGGUGGUCAUGUAAAUCCUUGCUGCCAGGGGCGAGGACAUCUGGCCCAGCGCCAUUCAAAGGGGAACCUCAGCAUUUGCAUGAGUUCCUCUUUGUCUUGCGCUGGUGUCCAGAUGCGCAGAGGCCUGACUGCUGCGAAGAUGAUGUUUAAGUUGAACCUUCAAGUCUUGGAAGAUACGAAGAGUCAAGUCUACUAUCAUGAUCACAUCUAAAUAAGCAGAAGUCAGACCGAUGUGAAGCCUGAUGAUUUUUGUUGAAUUCUUAAGUCUAUAAACCUACGAAGUCUCAAUUCUACUAUUAUCACAUCUAUAUACGCAGAGUGAAGUCUACGAAGUCUCAAGUCUACUAAUAUGAACGCAUCUAUAUACGCAGAGUCUAUCAAGUCUACAAAGUCUCAAGUCUACUAUUAUGAUCGCAUCUAUAUACACAGAGCCCAGAACUGGUGUGAAGCCUGACGUUUUUGCCGAAUCCUCAAGUCUAUGAAGCCUACUGUUAUGACCACGUCUCGAUACGCAGAGCCCAGAACUGGUGUGAAGCCUGAUGUUUUUCCGUCGAACCCUCCUCUAUGAAGUCUCAAAUCUACUAUUAUGAUCGCAUCUAUACAAGCAGAACCCAGAACUGGUGUGAAGCCUGACGUUUUUUGCCGAACCCUCAAGUCUAUAAAGCCUACUGUUUAUGACCACGUCUCGAUACGCAAAGCCCAGAACUGGUAUGAAGUCUGAGUUGUUUUUUUUUGUCGAACCCUUGUAUGUGAAAUUUUAAAUCUACUAUUAUGGAUGCAUUUAUACAAUUAGAGUCCUAACUAGUGUGAAGCCGGAUUAUUUUUGUCGGACCCUCAAGUCAACGAAGCAGUAAAGUCUCAAAUUGAUUACCAUGGUUAAAUUCAGAUAGAGAGAAGCCUAUUGUAUGUGCAGUGUCAAAAAUUGAAACGUUUUGGCUUCUGCAAUACUUGGUUUCAGCUGGCUUGGGGCCCAGCUGAGGUAAAAACCCUGUCCCCUUCACCCAAACCUACCAAAAAGACAACAAAAAAAAUGAAUAAACUCUGCAACACAAUUACAAA